AGGACGAACGCUGGCGGCGUGCUUAACACAUGCAAGUCGAGCGGUAAGGCCUUUCGGGGUACACGAGCGGCGAACGGGUGAGUAACACGUGGGUGAUCUGCCCUGCACUUCGGGAUAAGCCUGGGAAACUGGGUCUAAUACCGGAUAUGACCUCCUAUCGCAUGGUGGGUGGUGGAAAGAUUUAUCGGUGCAGGAUGGGCCCGCGGCCUAUCAGCUUGUUGGUGGGGUAAUGGCCUACCAAGGCGACGACGGGUAGCCGACCUGAGAGGGUGACCGGCCACACUGGGACUGAGACACGGCCCAGACUCCUACGGGAGGCAGCAGGUGGGGAAUAUUGCACAAUGGGCGAAAGCCUGAUGCAGCGACGCCGCGUGAGGAUGACGGCCUUCGGUUGUAACCUCUUUCAGCAGGACGAAGCGACAGUGACGGUACUGCAAGAAGAACGCACCGGACUAACUACGUCGCCAGCCGACGCCGACGGUAAACUCGUACGAGGACGGCGUAGGACGAACGGACCG
rnacentral:rRNA from 1 species